UGGGGAAUAUUGCACAAUGGGGGAAACCCUGAUGCAGCGACGCCGCGUGAGCGAAGAAGGUUUUCGAAUCGUAAAGCUCUGUCCUAUGAGAAGAUAAUGACGGUAUCAUAGGAGGAAGCCCCGGCUAAAUACGUGCCAGCAGCCGCGGUAAUACGUAUGGGGCGAGCGUUGUCCGGAAUUAUUGGGCGUAAAGGGUACGUAGGCGGUCUAUUAAGUCAGGUGUGAAAUCGUGAGGCUUAACCUCAUUAAGCACUUGAAACUGAUAGACUUGAGUGAAGGAGAGGAAAGUGGAAUUCCUAGUGUAGCGGUGAAAUGCGUAGAUAUUAGGAGGAAUACCGGUGGCGAAGGCGACUUUCUGGACUUUUACUGACGCUCAGGUACGAAAGCGUGGGGAGCAAACAGG
rnacentral:rRNA from 1 species